CCAUGCGUUAGGGGCGCAAAACGAAUGAGUACAUUACUGGAGUUAAUGGCGAGCACUGAAAGUAAUGGAAAGGUCAAUUUGCCGAAGUGUUUUAAGGAGCCAACUUAAAAUGCUGGGGUGUUGUUUAAUAGGCAACACACUGUCACUGUUUUUAGCAGUGGAGUACUAUCCGAUGG
rnacentral:ncRNA from 2 species